UUACCAGCAGUUCUGAAAGGAUACUUCAGUCAAUAGUAACUAAUUGACCUUACUAUCCAGAAAUCUCUCUUUGGUGUUGCAGCCCCUCUUGGUCAUCAUGAGAGCACAAUACGUUGUUUUGAUUUGCUUCCUUUAAGCAUCUAGUCCACACCACUGUUUCACCUGAAGCUUUCCUCGAAAGAAAACACUGUUACAGUACCAAGUUCAUCACAGCUUCUGGAGGGGAGAAUAAUAAACAGCUCGUUGAGAACACUAAGUGGGCAGCUUCAGAAACUCAGGCUCAGGAAUAACUGUGUGUGUAAUGGAAAUCCUUAAACAAGGAGACAUCAUGUUGAAUUUGCUGUUGCCAGUUUUGCAAAAGAAUUCAAGGAGGACAUUCAGGAAUGUAGGCAGAAGCUCUGUACAGCCCAGGUGUGAAGAUACAGAAGAAAU